CCGCCUGUCUAGCUGGAAGUGCAGCUCCUCCAGGGCUGGGGCUGGCCAGGAGAGCAGAGGGCCUGGGUACAAUUCAGAGAUAGCACAACAGCUGGUUAUGCCUGAAUGGGAAGGGCACAUACCUUGUGGCUGCACCCGGAUUUCUCCAUCCAUGAGUAUCGGACAGGGUAACCCAAGCUUGCACCCUGUCUCCGUUCAGCCUAGGGGUGGGUUACAGUUUGUUUGUGGCAGAUUGCAAGGGUGACCAGAUGUCCCGAUUUUAUAAGGACAGUCCUGAUUUUGGGGUCUUUUUCUUAUAUAGGCUCCUAUUACACCCCAUCCCGAUUUUUGACAUUUGCUGUCUGGUCACCCUACAGAUCACACUGGGCAGGCAGCAGUUUGGCUGAAAUCAGUAGCAGACUCCCAGCUGAGCAGUAGCCGUGGCACUUGGGUCUCUGUGAAAGACUGUGUGUGUGAAUGAGGAAUGUAUGCAUCAGGAAAAGAUAAGGUGUGAAGGUCAUUGUUAUAGCUAGAUGGUCAAGGAAGAAGGAGUGAAGAAACUUAAUGACAUCAGAGAACUAUCAACGUGCAUCCAUAAUGAAGGAAGGGCAGAUUGACAACCCUGAGGUGGAGGCUGACACCCCUAAAGACAAGACAAUUGAUUAAAUCAAAACCAGGACAGGAUGACCUUCGGAGAGGUGUUUUGGAACGUUAACAUCAAAAGAUACAUCAAUUAAGGAGUAACCGGUCACAAACUGACACAGCAAAAUCCAUAGACUUCAACAGAG